rnacentral:lncRNA from 1 species
AUACCAUGCCGCAUAAACCAUCAAAAAAUCCUCCAGGUCCAGCACCCCAAGCUCCUGGUCCACCCCAACCAGGCCCUCCAAGUCCCGGACCCCAGCCAAGUCCUCCGGGUCCAGGACCCCAGCCAGGUCCUCCGGGUCCAGGACCCCAGCCAGGCCCCCCGGGUCCAGGACCCCAUCCAGGCCCUCCAGGUCCAGGUCCCCCUGGUCCACCAGGAUGCAUUUCCUAGUUCUUGCUCUACUGAAAUGGACACACAAAGGUUCCUUAACUUGAAACGAAGAUAUCUGGGAAAAUCAGAGCAGAUGAUCGC